AGUGAACGCUGGCGGUAGGCCUAACACAUGCAAGUCGAACGGCAGCACAGUAAGAGCUUGCUCUUACGGGAGGCGAGUGGCGGACGGGUGAGGAAUACAUCGGAAUCUACUUUUUCGUGGGGGAUAACGUAGGGAAACUUACGCUAAUACCGCAUACGACCUACGGGUGAAAGCUGGGGAUCUUCGGACCUUGCGCGAUUGAAUGAGCCGAUGUCGGAUUAGCUAGUUGGCGGGGUAAAGGCCCACCAAGGCGCCGAUCCGUAGCUGGUCUGUGAGGAUGAUCAGCCACCCUGGAACUGAGACACGGUCCAGACUCCUACGGGAGGCAGCAGUGGGGAAUAUUGGACAAUGGGCGCAAGCCUGAUCCAGCCAUACCGCGUGGGUGAAGAAGGCCUUCGGGUUGUAAAGCCCUUUUGUUGGGAAAGAAAAGCAGCAGGUUAAUACCCCGCUGUUCUGACGGUACCCAAAGAAUAAGCACCGGCUAACUUCGUG
rnacentral:rRNA from 1 species